rnacentral:rRNA from 1 species
UACGAGGGGGGCAAGCGUUGUUCGGAAUUAUUGGGCGUAAAGGGCGCGUAGGCGGUGCGGUAAGUCACCUGUGAAAACUCUGGGCUCAACUCAGAGCCUGCAGGCGAAACUGCCGUGCUUGAGUGUGGGAGAGGUGCGUGGAAUUCCUGGUGUAGCGGUGAAAUGCGUAGAGAUCGGGAGGAACACCAGAGGCGAAGGCGGCUAGCUGGACAAGCACUGACACUCAACUACGAAAGCGUGGGGAGCAAACAGG